CUCUCAUGAUUCCUUUGAGAACCCUGGUUAACCUCUGCAUCUCAGUGGGGCAUCAGAAUGACAUUAUACUGAUUGCUUCAAGGCUAAGAGUGCUGCAGAGCCUCCUAAAUGAAGUCCAUCACCAUUCAAAAGUAUUUUGGCCUAACUGUCCACAUGGGAAAAACAAAAUGUAUGAAAAAUACCUAUUUUUCAGACUAUGAUGUUUAGGAGGUUUCAGUUGCUUCAGAGUUAUAGUGCCCUACUCAUGUUGAAGACCUGCCAAGGGGGAAAGAACCUGAGGUUUCUACAGAAUCCAGAUGACUUCCCUUCUGGGAGUCAAGACUAUUCACAAGAAAUAGAGAAAGAACAAUAUAAGAAAAUGUAUGAUCAAAUGCUCAUUUGUGUGAUAUGGACUCUAUCCAGUGAAAACUCCCGGAAGAAAGGGGCCGUUCUUUUUAAUUCCCUUCGGAUGAUAUCUAAUAGGAAA
rnacentral:lncRNA from 1 species